CUACUGGGGGCUGCAGUGGGGAAUUUUGGACAAUGGGGGAAACCCUGAUCCAGCCAUGCCGCGUGAGUGAAGAAGGCCUUCGGGUUGUAAAGCUCUUUCGGCUGGGAAGAAAUCGCACAGGCUAAUACUCUGUGUGGAUGACGGUACCAGCAUAAGAAGCACCGGCUAACUACGUGCCAGCAGCCGCGGUAAUACGUAGGGUGCGAGCGUUAAUCGGAAUUACUGGGCGUAAAGCGUGCGCAGGCGGUUGUGCAAGACAGAUGUGAAAUCCCCGGGCUCAACCUGGGAACUGCAUUUGUGACUGCACGACUAGAGUACGGCAGAGGGGGGUAGAAUUCCACGUGUAGCAGUGAAAUGCGUAGAGAUGUGGAGGAAUACCGAUGGCGAAGGCAGCCCCCUGGGCCGAUACUGACGCUCAUGCACGAAAGCGUGGGGAGCAAACAGGAUUAGAUACCCCCGUAGUC
rnacentral:rRNA from 1 species